rnacentral:tRNA from 1 species
GGAGGCGUCGCCUAGUCCGGUCUAUGGCGCCGCACUGCUAAUGCGGUUGGGGCCCUAAGCCCCUCGAGGGUUCAAAUCCCUCCGCCUCCG